UAUAUAUAAGUGUUAUUAGCACAAAAUUUUUUGAAAAUUUUAGAAAUAAUUUAUUUUAUUAUAUAUAU
rnacentral:tRNA from 1 species